rnacentral:rRNA from 1 species
UUGGAGGGCAAGUCUGGUGCCAGCAGCCGCGGUAAUUCCAGCUCCAAUAGCGUAUAUUAAAGUUGUUGCAGUUAAAAAGCUCGUAGUUGAAUUUCGGGGUUCUACCGUUGGUCGGGCUAUUGUCUGUACUGGCGUGUAGAAUUUCUACCUUCUGGGGAACUAUCAUGUUAUUAAUUUAGCGUGGUAGGAAACCAGGACCUUUACCUUGAAAAAAUUAGAGUGUUCAAAGCAGGCUUAUGUCUGAAUACAUUAGCAUGGAAUAAUAAAAUAGGACGGUGGUCCUGUUUUGUUGGUUUCUGAAUCACCGUAAUGAUUAAUAGGGAUAGUUGGGGGCAUUAGUAUUCAAUUGUCAGAGGUGAAAUUCUUGGAUUUAUUGAAGACUAACUACUGCGAAAGCAUUUGCCAAGGAUGUUUUCAUUAAUCGAGAACGAAAGUUAGGGGAUCGAAGACGAUCAGAUACCGUCGUAGUCUUAACCAUAAACUAUGCCGACUAGGGAUCGGACGAUGUUAACUUUUCUUGACUCGUUCGGCGCCUUACGGGAAA